AGUCUAUUUGAAAAUUACAUGAUAACUAUCUUACAAACAGUGGAAGCACCCUUACUUAAAGGCUUUUACACCCAUGUAUAUGGUUUAAAUCCCAAACUAUACACUUUCUUGCAGAUUAUAAGAUGCAAGCUUUCGGGGGUUCCAGAGUACUGUAGGCUGAGCAGUUCGUUGUGAUCGCAUGCUACGGAGAGAGCAUGUACAUUGAUGAUGCGUACAUGCAGA
rnacentral:lncRNA from 1 species